rnacentral:rRNA from 1 species
CGAGUGAAGCGGCAACAGCUCAAAUUUGAAAUCUGGCCCCCGGGUCCGAGUUGUAAUUUGUAGAGGAUGCUUUUGGUGCGGUACCUUCCGAGUUCCCUGGAACGGGACGCCAUAGAGGGUGAGAGCCCCGUCUGGUUGGACGCCAAUCCUUUGUAAAGCUCCUUCAACGAGUCGAGUAGUUUGGGAAUGCUGCUCUAAAUGGGAGGUAUAUGUCUUCUAAAGCUAAAUAUUGGCCAGAGACCGAUAGCGCACAAGUAGAGUGAUCGAAAGAUGAAAAGCACUUUGAAAAGAGAGUUAAAAAGUACGUGAAAUUGUUGAAAGGGAAGCGCUCAUGACCAGACUUGGGCUUGGUUGAUCAUCCAGGGUUCUCCCUGGUGCACUCUUCCGGCCCAGGCCAGCAUCAGUUCGCUGUGGGGGAUAAAGGCUUCGGGAAUGUGGCUCCCUCGGGAGUGUUAUAGCCCGUUGUGUAAUACCCUGUGGUGGACUGAGGUUCGCGCAUUCGCAAGGAUGCUGGCGUAAUGGUCAUCAGCGACCCGUCUUGAAACACGGACCAAGGAGUCGUCUUCGUAUGCGAGUGUUCGGGUGUCAAACCCCUACGCGUAAUGAAAGUGAACGCAGGUGAGAGCUUCGGCGCAUCAUCGACCGAUCCUGAUGUUCUCGGAUGGAUUUGAGUAAGAGCAUACGGGGCCGGACCCGAAAGAAGGUGAACUAUGCCUGUAUAGGGUGAAGCCAGAGGAAACUCUGGUGGAGGCUCGCAGCGGUUCUGACGUGCAAAUCGAUCGUCAAAUAUGGGCAU